rfam:Punica granatum cultivar Dabenzi scaffold246, whole genome shotgun sequence.
AAGCAGGUGAUGAAAAAAAAUUGCAAUAAUAUGAUAGAACUUGGUUUCAUGAUUCCUUUGUAUUUAAGUUUCUGAUGAUU